rnacentral:rRNA from 1 species
CCUACGGGAGGCAGCAGUGAGGAAUAUUGGUCAAUGGACGAGAGUCUGAACCAGCCAAGUAGCGUGAAGGAUGACUGCCCUAUGGGUUGUAAACUUCUUUUAUAUGGGAAUAAAAUGUUCCACGUGUGGGAUUUUGUAUGUACCAUAUGAAUAAGGAUCGGCUAACUCCGUGCCAGCAGCCGCGGUAAUACGGAGGAUCCGAGCGUUAUCCGGAUUUAUUGGGUUUAAAGGGAGCGUAGGUGGAUUGUUAAGUCAGUUGUGAAAGUUUGCAGCUCAACCGUAAAAUUGCAGUUGAAACUGGCAGUCUUGAGUACAGUAGAGGUAGGCGGAAUUCGUGGUGUAGCGGUGAAAUGCUUAGAUAUCACGAAGAACUCCGAUUGCGAAGGCAGUUCACUGGACUGCAACUGACACUGAGGCUCGAGAGUGUGGGUAUCAAACAGGAUUAGAUACCCUUGUAGUC